AGUGAACGCUGGCGGUAGGCCUAACACAUGCAAGUCGAACGGCCGCACAGUAAGAGCUUGCUCUUACGGGUGGCGAGUGGCGGACGGGUGAGGAAUACAUCGGAAUCUACUUUUUCUUGGGGGAUAACGUAGGGAAACUUCCGCUAAUACCGCAUACGACCUACGGGUGAAAGCAGGGGAUCUUCGCACCUUGCGUGACAGUAUGAGCUGAUGUCGGAUUAGCUAGUUGGCGGGGUAAAGGCCCACCAAGGCAACGAUCCGUAGCUGGUCUGAGAGGAUGAUCAGCCACACUGGAACUGAGACACGGUCCAGACUCCUACGGGAGGCAGCAGUGGGGAAUAUUGGGCAAUGGGCGCAAGCCUGAUCCAGCCAUACCGCGUGGGUGAAGAAGGCCUUCGGGUUGUAAAGCCCUGUUGUUGGGGAAGAAAAGCAGCAGGUGAAUACCCCGAUGUUCUGACGGUACCCAAAGAAUAAGCACCGGCUAACUUCGUG
rnacentral:rRNA from 1 species